AGGGCACCAUGCUUGGUGCUCUGGGCAGCUGUCCGAGUGGCUCUGGUUUAUAGUCGUGCAGUGAUUUGCAGCUUCUGAUGAAAAGGACUAUUUAUGGCAGGCUGGAGCUUAUGAGGCUGAUGGCUGCUAAGUCUGCUUAAGCCUUCAACUGAGAUUGCUGCUUUUUCUUGAGGGAAGAGAAAAACAAAACCAAGCAGCCAUUCCUCUGUUUGGGAAGCGUGUAAGUUGAGCUCCCAUGUUAUAAAACACUGGGAACGGAACCGAAGUUGACUUCCCUGGGAAAAAUGAGAAGCCAGAGGCCCCAUGAGCUCAGUAUUUCUGGGGGGAGGGAAAGGAUGGCAUUACAGAAGAAAGAAGAGAGGGGCAACAUUUCCAUGGUAUGUUUCAAGUAUGCGUAUUUUUUUUCUUUUAAAUGACACUGAACUUACCUUGCCAUUUGGAAAUGUUAACUUUGGAAAGGGCAAUUAGCAUAGGGACAUGUGGAAUGGUUGGGAGUGUGAGGAUUGUGGGGUGGGGAGAAGAGAGAUAAUGGACCAUCAAAACACUUGUGGCUGCCUGGUGUCAACUAUGCCAACCCAGUUUUAAAGAGCAAUAGGGAGGAGGGAGGCUGUCAGGGUCACUGCACAUGUGGGGACACCUUGGGGAGCCCAGGGAGACAUUUUUCAUUUGAUAACCUUCUGAGCAUGUGCAGAGGGAAUGGCAUGGCAGCAGCAGUGUGCCACCAUGAAGGAGAAGCCAGUGUCACCCCUAACACUAUAUCCAGAGACUCCAUGUUGUAGAUUGGGUGUUGGUGACCUCCCAAAAUUCUUAUGUUGCAUCCUCAUGCCUUGAUGGAAGUGGAGCCUUUGGGAGGCAAUUAAGACACAAAAUCCUCAUGAGUCAAAUGCACGCCCUUAUCAAAGAAGUCCAAGAGAGCCUUUUCACCCCUUCUGCUGUGAGAAAUGCAAUAGGAAGGUGCCAUCUAUCAACUUGAUCUUGGGCUUCCCGGCCUCCAGAGAGUUAACACAUUUCUGUGGUUGGUUAGCUACCAGUUCCUGCUUAUUAUAACAAUCAGAGUAGACUAUGUGCUCUAAACCCUACGGAGUUAUCAGGAGAUAGACUUUGAAGAGCUGUAUGUGAUUCCACAUGCAUCUUAGCUGAGCUAGGUGUGGCUUGUUAAAGCUUAUAGGAUUGUAGCAACCAUUUGCUCUGGGGCUAGACUGCAUAAAGUCUAAGUUCUUGCAGUAUGACCUGGGGUAAGUGAUUACUUCCCACGGCUUUAGUAUGAAGCAGGGAUACGAAUGGUACCUAUACUUCAGAGGGGUUUCAGGAAGAUUAAAUAAAAUAAUAUAUGGAAGCUGCUUAGAAUCGGGUAUCCUAUGCUCAAAGGAGCUAGCUGCUAUUGCUAUUAUGACUAUUUGUCAUAACAGUAUGACCGUACUAAUAUGACUAAGGGUCAAGCUGAAUCCAGGGCAUUUGGGUGUCCGAUACGGGUAAAGUGACACUGAGUUGGAUCAGUCUGAAGGGAGCGAGGCCUAACUGCUGUCAUUGUCCUCACUGAUGUCAUUGUCCUCAAUGUUCUCUCUUGUUCUUCAGGGAAGUAUCACCAUUAUCUCUAAUCAGGAAAGGCAACUAUAUAUAACACAAUUUAUACAUAGAGAAAUCAAGAAGGAAAACAAAGAGAUUUUAGCUUCCAACAGAGAAGUCUAAAUGGAUAUUUAGGUAAUUUUGACUGCUUAUUUCAAACUGCUUUUCGAAGAAGAAGAAGAAGAAGAAGAAGAAGAAGAAGAAGAAGAAGAAGAAGAAGAAGAAGAAGAAGAAGAAGAAGAAGAAGAAGAAGGGGGUAAGAACCCUUCAUCCCAUAGGUGGCAUUUACUGUUGAGGAGAAGAGUGGCUGGGUUUGAAAAAGGAUCUUUGGCAUGUGACAAAGCAUGGGUGGGGUGUGCUGUAGGUGCUGUUUAUUUUUCUGAUCACAUCUCUUGGUACUCCACAGAGAGGACUGGGGAGCCCCAUGGUGGUAUGCUAUCAGGUGCAGAAGGAGUGUGCUCUGGUGAAAAUGGAUUCCCUUCAGCUUUGCUGACAAGGUUUGGUCAAAUGCUACCUGCAGAAAUGUAGUCUGUGUGCCCCAGGAUGGAGCCAGGAAUGGUGUCCGUCCUCACAAUGGAGAAUAGGGAAGAAUUCCGAGAUCCCAGGUUCUUCUCGGGUCUUCAGAGAUAGGUGUGGCCUUCUGGAUUCUUAUUGAAGUUGUAUUACAGAAUCAGCCAGGUGGGAGAAGCCAGUGUGGCCUUGUGCUUGUGGGAGAAAGCCACUCCUUCCAUGAGACAGCAAGUUGACAAGAACCUGCAGCAUCCGCAGUACCUGCCUCCUGCUUCUGACAAUGGAAUGAUGGUUAUUCAGAGGCCUGGAGGGCGCAGGAGUUAGCCACAUCAACUGGGGUAGCCUGUUUGUUGGUUGUAGAUAUUUUAAAGAGUGCUUUGGAAAUAGGCAAAACUGGGCAGGGAUUCCUUUUUUCUGCAUUCUACACUGUGAAGGUAUCUUAGAGUUUUUCAUUGCUCAACCCACAUAUCCUUACAUGGCAUCCCUGGUCUUGGGAAAGAAUCUGUUUUGGCUAGAAAUUUAAUAAAGUAAACCUAAAUAUAGAAAGGAGAAACAUGAUAGAAAGGAGAAACAUCAUUUCUUUUACUACAUCGUGAUCCACACUACCAAGCAUCAGCAGCUACUUGUAGAGCUUGUAUUUGGAGUGAGUUUCUUGGGUAGGAGAAAGCUCAGUCAUUUAGCCUAAGAUUGGUGUUGCAGACAAGAGGCUUUACUCCUGUAGGAGAUUUUUAACCGUGUCUGCUGUCCUGUCCACAGUUCUCACUGACCUCCAGUGUGUUGGCAGAAUUGUGAAUUUUCUCCACUUGCAUCUCUCUGUUGGAGGGUCAGGCAGUCUUAAAAGGGUCCCGAGGCAGCUGAGCUGUGUGUGAGGCUUCUCCUGCAGGAGAUGUGAACUGAUUGGUUGGAACCCCUACUCACCCCACAGAAACUGGGACCUCCCAACCCCUACUGUGUUCUCCUUCCCUCACCCCCUGCCUCCAUGUUAAAAAACAAAACAAAACAAAACAAAACAAAACUCCAGGAUAAUUGCGAUCACCCCUUUCUUCAGCAUUUCCAGCAACCCACCUAAGCGCGCCCAUCAGGGGAUCAGCUUUUAGGCACAAUCCCAGCUCCUAUCUGAUAUGUCAUCACUCCUCACCUAAGACCUAUAAAGCCCCCUUCCCUUAGCCUGGGUCCACAGUUUCUCUGGGCCUGUUCCUUGGGACUGGUGAAAAGGUCUAAUAAACCUGCCUUUAUCUGCUUCUAAUCUGGUCUAGUUUGGUUUAUAUUGCAUCCGCAGAAAACCUAUUGUGAACAAAUGAUUAUUCAUUCCAGAUAAGAUGAAUAAAGACUAAAGAAGUGAUUCUACUCACAUCUAGUUUGGUAAGCUAAUGAGUUUACUGGGUUACUUACAAGACCACAGUGACUCAAAAGACAGCUGUAUGACCCCGAAUCCACUGCAGCAUGGGUAAAAACUGCUUCCCUAGAGUUCCCAGCACCACCUGCACGAAGCUGCACUGCAGAGUCUCUUCCCCAGGAACUGUUUGCUGGUUGUAUGUCCUUGGGGAGGGGGCCUAUGCUUUCUGAGUUUCUUCCAACUACUGAGUUCCUCGGUUCCCUGAGUGGAGUAAACCUCCUCCCUCUGGGCAGGAAGAAAUGUUUCAUUUCAGAAGAGAUGAAUAGGUACAUCACAAACAACUGAGUUCCCCAAGGUGGUAUGGCCAGUUGAGCUGGUUUUGCUCUGUCUGUGUAAAAGCAGGCCUGCCUGAGGCUCAGGUUAGAGUUAGUAGCCUUGCACCUUGUCAUCAGGACAUUUUCUUUCUCAGUUUUGGAUGCUAGACCAUUACGAUAUUUGCAAAAGAGCCCUUCAACCAAAUACAGUAUUAUUUAUAAAAAUUCCUCCCCUCCAAGAAUGUGAUCGUUACAACUAUAGAACCUAUUAUACAAAACCUAUAAGCCAGUGUCAUGAUGCAGGCUUGUCACCCCAGUUAUUCCAAAGGCUGAUACCAGAGAACCUCACAUUUGAAGGCUGUGUGGCCUAGUGAGUAUAAUCAGGGCAGAUUGGGAGCUUAGCAAGUCCCUGUCUAAAAAUAAAGGAAAAGUAAAAAUGAGGCCAGGGCUAGAUAGCUCAGAAGCAGAGUGUCUGGGUAGCACAUAUAGGGCUAGGUAAAAUCCUGGACCAGAAAACGUUUGCUUAUAAUAGGCACAGUGUCUGGGCCCAGUGUCCUGUCUCAUUUCUCUCUGCUUGGUCCAUCUCUCAUUUCUUAAACUCAGCAUCAGGAGGAUACUGAGCAGGGCUGCAGGAGUAGAUUUGGGAACCAGCAACUGGAAGCUGCUUAACAACCCAUCAACGAGAGCUGUCCAUCACGGGGCUUUGGAAGAAAUCUUCCAUCUCUCUAGCUGCAGCCUUUGAAAUAUAUCCAACUGUGUCCAUCUACAGAGCCCCAUCUUCAUGUUUUUAAGUAUGAGCUAGGCUGCCACGGGCCUGUGGCUCAGGGCAAGAGUGCCUUGUCUUAUGCCUUUGCUUUCUUUGUGGAAAAACACUAAAGAGGUGUCAUCCCUUGGAAGAAAAGUGCUGUGGAAACACAUUUUCUUUCUCACUUUCAGGAAACCUAUACAUUUACCCAGGUCUCUCUCACUUUUUUCCAGCUUUUUGCAUUAUUUUUUAGCAAGGGAAGCCGGCAGGUUUCUCAUCUGUCCCUCUCAACCUAAUUUGAUCUCUUCAUCAAAACCUGUGCUGUCUGUUGGCUUUUCCAUGGCGCUGCAGAGAUGAUGAUGAAAUCCAGCACACUUAGGAGCCUCCUUGUGCAGACUCUGGAGUAGCCACUCAGAUGUGCCAGUGGUCCGUUGUCAUCCAAUAACCACUACAAAGCCAAUGUAUGGAAAGAAGGAAGCAAGACUUUGUGUCAUGGUGAAGUGUAGAUUGGUGGCUUCUGGAGCAGUCAGAAGAUUAUGAAGAACUGGUGGGGCGAAGUGAGAAGUGGAAAAGGUGUCCAUAAAAGCAACAAAACAGGAACAGCAUCACUCAGAUGCUCAGAACCAAAAGAUGUAAGAUUGCAAUCAGAUUGGAAAUGGUUAUAGAAAUGUUUAACAGCCCCUCAACUCUAUGCUAUAAUCAGGUCCUCGGUGAUAGGACAAGAGUCAUCUUUGCAACUCUGCCAGUAGUGGAGACCACUUGGGGAACGUGUGCACGUGGGCUUUCUCUUCUGUUUGCAGCAGUGAGGAUGCCCUUCCCUUUUUGCUGGGCUGGUGCUGGAGAGGUUGCAGAAAGGAAGGACUCCCCAGCGGCAUACCCAUUGGCAAGGGCUUCACAUGCGUGAGUCACGUCACCCUACUUACUGUGUGCUCGGGAUAUAGUUGCCAUUUGUCACAAUUCUAUUUAGCAGGAGAGCCAGCUCAUCCUCAGCAUCUCCUCACGUAAAUGAAAACUCGGUGCUCUUUUGUGAUGCCGGAAUGCACAGAGAUGCACAGAGAUGGCUCUUCACCAGCAAGCAGGCAGGCAGGUCUGCUGAGGAGACCAGUUGGCUGGCCUCCCACUCAUCCUCCCACCUGCUGCUCUGCACCUGGAGAUGGUGUCAGCUCACAGGUUAAGUACUCAGUCCCUCAGACCCAUCCCAUGUCGGACAUCAGCCCCAAGUCCAGGCUUUCUUAACCUCUGACCCAUGUCUACACAAUGGGGCUUUUACUGAUGGGUUUAUCCUAAAGGAUGCGUCAAAAAUGCUAACGAGCAUCGGGUGAAAGUGAAGUCUGGGAGAUUCCUGGGUCAGGAGCCUCUGCUCUUUGCAGUCGGAGCACAACACCCUCCCAGCAUUGAGACUUCCGAGGAUCCCACGAAGCCUGGCUUGACAGUGCUUUCUGUGACAGCGAUUUUACAUCGAUCAAUCUGGGGACCCAGUGGGAAUCAGUGGCAGAAUUACCAGCGCAAGGCAAUUCCCAAUCUCCUUGGCCUGAAGCUGUUGCUCCGUAGAGGAACCAUCGCCCGACAUCCGAGAGACCAUGGACUCCACUCUCAGUACCGAGGAAACAAACAACCCGAGCAGGCCAGCAAGCCAAUAACUAAAAGCAUGGCUUCCUUUCUUUCCCAAGGAAGGCUGUAGAGACCAGCAGUCCUAGUCCCCAAGGAUCUAGAACCACACUGAAGAUAAGCUCUGGGGCAUGUCUGUGAGGAGGCCUCUAGAGUGGUUAACAAAAAUUGGAAGCCUCACCCUGACCGUGGGUGGCACCGUUCCAUUGGGAUGAAAUUCAGAACUAAACAGAACGUGAGGUGAGUACCAGCAGUCAUCUUUCUUUGCUUCUUCUAAAACUAUUCAUUUAUUUUAUUUAUAGGUGUAUGUCUGCAGAUCAAAGUGCAUACCUGGUACCUGAUAAGGCCAGAAGAAGGUGGCAGAGUCCCUGGGACUGGACUAUUGUGAGCCACCACAUGGGUGGUGAGAGUUGAAUUUAGAUCCUCUUGGGAGAUCAUCCAGUGCUCUUAACUUCUGAGCUUACUAUCUAGACACUCUCUCUGUCUUUUGGUUGGGGACUCAGUGUGACCAACCAGCUAACAUUCCUGCCUUGAUGCCAACCCCAUCAUUAUGAUGGGAGACUGCAUCAUCCCAAACUCUGAGUCAGUGUAAACUCUCUCAUCCUUAUAUUGCCUUUGUAAUUUUAUUUGUUGGUUUUUGUUUUCCAGCAACAAGAAAAGAAACUAAUACAUAUUUUGCUAAGUUGCCCAGGUUGGCCCUUCCUUAACUUGUAAUUUGGCAAAGAUUGCACAAAGAAAUGGGAUUUGUAGAAGACUUGAAUAAUGGGGAGAGUGCAUAGGAAGAAGGAGAUCAUUCUAGAAUACUCACACACAUCUAACAGUUCAAAAUAAGCAUGAUAUGAACUAUUAAUGCAGCAUUUAAAGGUGACUAUUUAUUAGGAAAACAACAGGCUUUUGUCUCCUGAGUGCUGGGAUCACAAACACCAUGCUCUGCUUGUCUGGCAGUGGAUUGUAAACUGGGCUGACAUUGGUGAGAAGGGGAACACGAGGCUAUUGUCAUCCAUAGAGGUAGCAUUAAGACCUGACUGACAAAAGCCUGGAUGCACAUCAAGCUCUCGACAUCACACAGAGCCCGUUUGACAGAAGUCAGCUUAACUGAGUAAGAUAUGUUGAGCCACUGACGUCCGAUGACCAUGCAUCACCUCAGUCAGAAAUGAAAAGGAGGCGCUCAGUCCCAGAACCACCCAGCCACAGAGCAGCAAGGACUUUGGAGUCUAAAAACUGAAGAACACACUAGUAAGCCAGGAGAUGCCUGACAAGAGCUUAUGAUAUGGCAAGACAAUUGCUUACCUGCCUGGCAUUCAAGGAUGCUCUCUGCAUAUGACAUUCCUGCAUCAAUGCUGCCUAUCACUCUGGGUCCCCAUCUAUCACCACCUGUGGCCUACUAACAAUUGCUGAGACAGGAGAGCAGAGGAAGCCUGCAGUGGGGUCAGCAAAGCUGCUGACUUAACUCCAGCAUCCAGACUCCGUAUUUAACUUGAUGAGGAUAAGAACUGUAACUCCGCUAUUGAAGGGCUGAAGCUUCAGCCCAGGGGAACAAUAGGUAAGCACAUAUAAAAUUCUCUUCCUGCACGCCAAUCUACCAUGUCCCCUGACCGUUCCUAUGCAAGGAUUUUAAGAGCAGAGUGACUGAGGGAGGGAGUCUGAGGGGCGUGGCCACACCAUCCAAGUGUCUUCGACAGCUCAGGGAGUUGACAUAACCUAGAAAAAAUGUGCUGUUAUUUUGGUAAGGGCAGAAGGAGAAGUAUGGUUUUAUGUCAGAGUUUCCCAUGAAAAGACCUAAGCUCACUGAAGGCGAAAGGGAUGCGGUCCGUGGGCUGUGAUCUGUGGUCUGUGGUCUCCCAGACGGUCCUAAGUACCGAGGAAGAUGAGACCCAGAAGCAAGGAGGAUGACAGGCAGCACCCUGUCCAGUGCUGUCACCUUGGGGCAGAAGCAGAGGUACCCCAUCCAGGACAGAAGGAGAGGCAAGAACGAGCCAAGGCAGCACUGGCCUGGGAAGGAUGAGACAAGUAGGCUCUGGGGUUCCAGAUCCAGUUGCAGAGACGUUGGAAUGCCAACACCUCAUGUUCAAAGGGCAGCCAUGAGAUCAGUGCCUAUUUCUAUGAGUGAGGUAUAACUGUUAGGGUGAUCAGGGACCAUGGAUGCAUCUGGCACAAGCUCACAAGCAUGUUGCAAGUAAGAGUGGGUCUGGAGCAGUUGGUUCCUGCCUGUGUGGUAGACUCGAUCACUGGUCCCUUAUUUUUCUCCUUCCACAUCCUGACUCAGGAGUAAGGUCAGGAGCUGUUCACAACCAUCAGAAUUCCCCAGAAAAGGACUAAAAAUCAGGCACGGUCUGCUGCUAGGAGGUGAGUGGAUGUGAAAUCGGCUCUGUUUCAUAGUCGCUUCGGUAGCUAUAGAAACUGCCAUUAUGGCAAUAAAGCAGACCUAAGGCAAGUGCUGAGAAGUGUGACAUCAUUCAAUAUCCCAGCAUCCCCUUGUGGCAAGGACUGUUACUCUCCUUGCCUACAUAUGAGGAAACCUAUGAAAGAGAUGUCAGUGAACCUGCCUCCUUCACACUGACAGUAAGAGACAGACCUGGGACUUGAACCUGUACUGUCAUGCUUCAGUGUCCGUGCCAUCCAGACUCUUAAUUCUUGAGGCUCUGGGCUGUCCCUUAUGGUUGCCUCUCCCCUCCCCCAAUCUCACCAGCUCAAAGGAAGGUGCUAUCUUUGGGAAUAUGUCAGGGUGUGCAUCACAAGGUGUCAGGGGUCCAAAGUAAACUUACCUUACAAUUCCACUUUGCCACUAUUUUCUGAAUGUCAGAAAAGAUUAAAAAAAAAAUAGGUACCUUGGCAGGAUCUUCUUUAAAUCCUAUCUGGAGGCUCAGUGAGAGAGAAAGAGGGAAGAGAAAAAGAAAGGGGGAGGAAGGAAGAGGGAAGAUGAGGGUAGGAGGGGUUGGCCACAUCAUGCACUGAGAACAUUUGACUCCUCGCAAGUGUCUUCAGCUCAGGGAGCUGACAUAGCCUAGAAAACCUAUGCUGUUAUUUUGGUAAGGGCAGAAGGAGAAGUAUGGUUUUAGGUCAGAGCUUGCCAUGAAAAGACUCACUAAAGGCAAAAGGGAUACGGUCCAUGGGCUGUGAUCUGUGGAGUCCCAGAAGGUUCUAAGUACUUAGGAAGAUGGGGGAUCCAGAAGCAAGGAGGAUGACAGGGAGCACCCUGUCUGGUGACAUCAUCUUAGCUAAAGAACAAGGCGAGGAAUGGUAGCUCCCAAGUAGAUGGAGAAGGUGUCAUAACUGAACUAAAUGGUCUGACCACACCCCGUGCUAGCACAUGGUGUCCUUUCUAGCCCUUAACCCCUGAGUUAGGGAAAUACUGGUGGUGAAUAGGACAGCACAUCUCAAACCUAGGCUAUGAGACCUUUCAUUCUUGUGAAGUUUUAUAUUAUUCUAAAUAAACUGCUGGUGUCUCCUCAAAUUAAAAGCUGAGCACGUUCAACUUAAUAGUUGGCGAGCUAGUCAUUCUUUUUUUUUUUUUCCGAGCCUCAUGGCUUCUUGUACGGAGUAAAAUACAGGCUCUAAGUGAGCUGUUUAAAUAUUGAUGAGAAGCUGAACAUUGUUUUCCCGGCCCACUGGAGUGAAUUUAUGGUGCUGCGGAGUGAAGAGACAUUGCAUCCUGAAGAAGAAAGAGAAGAAAGUCUGAAGAGUGGUCCCCUUUCAGAGUUUUAUUCGUGAGGCUAAAUCAACAUGUGUUACAUUUCAACAUACACCAAGAAAGCCUGAUAUCAGAGACGGUAAAUCCAUGACCGAAACUUGAAAACACGUUCCCAGGUUCUCAGCACAGCGAUUUGAGCCACACCCACUGCCGGAAAGACAUUUAGACCAUUAGAACUCCAUCUAAAUCCCGUUUGAAGUUGACGACCUACAUAUGAGAACCAGAUCCCCUUCAACCCUUCCAUCUGAUUAUUGAGGAAGUUUACGCUACAGAUUACCAGCAAAGACAGGGACUCAGGUCAGUUUUGGGAGAACUGAGAACUGAGACAGGAGAACCUAGUCUAGCUCCAACUGAAGCCCCUCCCUCGAGGUAGAAAAGAGAUUCAUUCAUUGUUUUCGCCCAUUAGCUCUGAGCUAUGCUUGAGCUCUUCCACCUAAUGCCUUUCUGGGUCCAUCAGUGCUUAUGGGUGUGUGGCCUUCAAUACAGCAUCUAAAUGCAUUGGAUCUGCACUUUAUGUAUAAAAACAUGCACUUUGGAUCCCCUGGAGGUUUAUUUCGUCCUGGUUCCUGCAUAUCCUAGUCUCUGGUCUCUACAAAGUACUGAGCUUGCAGCUUUGAGCAACUGACAGUUUGUCUGAUGUGAAGAAUGUAGACCAUAUGAGCCUGGGGCCUUGGGAACCAGCUCCUGGUUGCCACCCAGAAGACUGUCCUGAUAAGAAGGCCUGUGACAGGUUCAGGUUCCAACCUUCACAGCCAACCUUACCACCUGCAGUUUUCUCUCAGACCUUUACUUUCUGAUCAAUUGUAGAGCUGUCCCUUGCUAUGAUAAAGUAGAGCAUCUUCUUGGGCUUGUUUUGAUCUCCCUUGCUGUGCUGAUGGCUUCUGGCACAACACCUUCUACAGAGGUGCAAAUUAGCAAAUGAAUGACUGGAUAAUUAUCAAACAAAACAGUGACAUUCCUAGAAUCUGUCACUGAAUCAAGGACCACAGGAACAGAAAUCCUCUUAUGGUUUUACUUUGUUAAAUGUCCUUUAGAACACUGUCCUAACCAAUUACAUUAGAAACAACCUCCAAACUCAAUGUCUUCAAAUACCAAGCCAUUGCCUCUCUUGGUUCUGUGGACGCACUAAGCUCAGCUCUCUCUCUCUCUCUCUCUCUCUCUCUCUCUCUCUCUCUCUCUGUGUGUGUGUGUGUGUGUGUGUGUGUGUGUGUGUUUUACCUGAGAUCUGUCAUGCAGUUUUAGAACAGAGAAGCCAGGGUUGGAGUCAUUGGAAGGCUCGACUGGGCGGAUAUCCAAGAUACAUUGAGGACAGCUGAUGUCAGCGGCUGGAUUACCCACACUUGUCAACUGGACAGGACCAGUUUAUAACACUUGGCCUGUCCACGUGGCUUGGGUUUUUCACAGAAUUGCUUCUGGGUGCCCAAAUCUGUCAUCUGUCAGUGAGCAUUCUGAGAGAGCUGAUAACGAACAGCAGGUUUCCUAUUAUCUAGCCUUGGGGGCCAUAGCAUAUGGCUACAAGCAAACAUAUGAUCUUGGGGACUUGGUAGAGUGCCUGCCUAGCAAGUAGGAUGGCCCGGAAUUGAAAAACAAACAACAAGCAAACAAACAACAACAAAACUUCAAACGCGUUAUCCCUGAAGGACAACCUAUCUCUGCAAGAGCCUUCCUUUAUCACGUGAUCCAUCCACUAUACUGCUGAGCACUGGCGACAAUCACUAUCAACCGGAUCUAGCAGAGUUGUCCUUGGAGAAUCUCAGCAUGAACAGUGAGCAGAGAGAGAAGCUGGCGAGGUUGACAUGAAAGGCGAGCGGUGCUCCAGGGCCUAUUAUCGAUGGCCAGAACUCAUCCUACUUUGAAAGGGUCUUGAGCAGAUUAAGAUGAAACAGACGGGCAUUACAUGGAAGCUUCUUUCAGCCCCCACCAGCUUUCAUUGCUGACCAUCCUGUUCCUGACUGUGCUGUGUAGGAGAAUCCAGACAUUGUGUACAGCUGCAUCUCAGCGUGGCCCGUUUUGGCUGGAAUUCAAGGAGUAAUUACAGCCAAAUGAGUAUUAUUACAACCCACGUCAAUCAGCGCAGCCUUCUCCUCGAAUGCUCUCAUAAAGAAACAGGGACGCUCUCUGAAAGAUGCUGUCUGGUUUAAGCCCAGUGUCUUUCUGGGGACCAGGAUGUGUGUGCUUUUCCAGAGGGAAACCAGCGCUGAUCGUCUGUCACCAAGUCUGAAGAGUAUAACCUGUAUGAUCUGAGACUGUAGGUCCCCAGAGUUAGGCAGACCCCAAUUCAGAUCCCACAUGCUACUUCCUCUCUCUGUGAACCUACACACGGGCUUAACCUCUCCACAUCUCCAUGUUCUGAUGAGUGAUGCGAGACUUCAGGGAUUCAGCAAGAUAGAGUGUUUAAAGUGCCAAAAGAGAUCUAUGGUGAUUUGUUAAUGGAACUUCCUUUCCUCCUCAUUCAGCAAUUAAUCACCAGCUCUUUGUCCUCGGCUGGAGGUGUGGCUUUGCAUCAGCAGGUGGAUGCUAAGCUACACAUUUGUCUACAUUUUAGGCCUCCUUUGGAACCCAAAAGCAAUGUGUGCAGGGAGGUUAUCCUGGAGAGACUGGAGUGUGAGGACGAGUCACACUGAUUCUGUAGGGGGCUGGGAUGUCGUGGGAAAAAGGGCAGGAGCAAUGGGAAUUGGAAGACACCUCCACACACACAACCAUGAAGUUCCACCAACUUUAGAACACUACUUUGGGAGGAAUCAUGGGUGGUGAGGGAAAGACCUUGUCCCUGUAGAAAUUUAGUGGAGAAGAGCUCUUUGCCUAGGUUCCUGGUGGCUUGGUUAGAAAGAACAUUGGUAUGGUUUGAAUCUGCAAUGCCCACCAUAGGCUCUUGAUUUGAACAUUUGGUUCCCAGCUGGUGGAGCAAAUUUGGAAGGGUAUGGGUCUAGCUGGUAGACAGGUUUUCAUGGGAAGGUCCCUAGUUCCUGACUUUUUCUGCUUCCUGAUCUGCGUGAUGCGAAUAGCUUCCCAUACAUGCUCCUAUGAUGGGGUCCUAUUGCUGUGGCCUGAACCACCAUGCUAAGCCUUCUCUGUCAUAGUGAAAUGUCUUGAGACCAUGAGCCCAAAGAAUUCUUUCACCCUUUACAUACACUGUUUCUGCCAGCUAUUUUGACCAUGCUACCUCAAAAGCAACAAAUAAAAAUGCUUAUAAAAACGUAUAUGCAAGCAGCCAGGCAACCUUGUGUGUAUGCAUGGGGCUUAGGCACGGAGCUUAAAUCACUCUUGUAAAUCUGCUCCAUUCAAUUUAGUAAAACGUUCUCCUGUCUACUUUGGGUGAGAGAUGGCAUGGGGAG